AACUGACCAGUCAGCAUUCAUUGAGAAAUGCUUUUUCCUUAUUCAUGGCAAGCGAGCUCUCAGGUCUCAGAAGAAACUUGUAAGCUACUCGUGAGCAGGAAUAAAAGAAAAGAUUAGCCAAACAGCUAUUUCAUUUUUAAUAGUUAUCAACUCACAGCUAGCAUGUUGGAUCAGAAUCAGAGUUCAGUAGGUCAGUAUCUUCACUGAGAAAAUAAUGUGCCAAAAGCUGUUUCUCAAAAGUUUUCUUCUGAAAAAGAGGCUUCUCUUUACCUGCCUCAUUGCUCAGGGAGCUUUAGAAUUUCUUUAUAAUUUCAGUGAGUGUGGUGUUUCCUGAUCUUAAGUCUCAGGGGAGGAAUGUCUCCCCCUGGGCUUUAACUGAACACUGGGGAGGCUGACCAAUGGGCGCACUCACUGGUUUUGUUGUUUUAAGAAAGUGCUCCCUUUUACCUAAAAAAAAAAAUUUAAAUCCACACUGAUUUCUUUAUAAGUAAAAAGAUUACUAUUUUCACAAAUGAACAUCUGCCAGGAGCAGGGUAGGCAGCCUCCCUGGGUUACCCUGCUUAGAAAGAGUCCAGCAAUGACAUCAUGGGGUUUUCAGGGCAGGCGCUUGGGAAGACUGAAGAAGGCAAAUCACUGGAGAGAUGACUUGUAGAAUGAAAAAAAGGACACUCACAAGAACCUCGGCUCAUCUCAGAAGUAAGUGCAACAAAAAUCUUGCAUCUCACCCAUGAGAAUUUUACUUAAUUUUUCUUUCCCCUUUGAAAAUUUUGGAAUGCAAUUUCUUUUCUCAUUAAUGGAUGCAGAAUAUUCAUGAAAAAAUGCAGAAGGCAUUUUCCAGCAGAACGCUAGUCUGAGACUUUGGCCAGCCAGACGGCUCAAGGAAAUUCAUAAAGCAAGACAAGCCGGCAAUAUGUGGAGCCGACUAUUUCUUCCCAACAUCUGGUGGUCAGCAUGUUAUAUUCUCUGCGACUACAGAAUUGCAUUUUUGGAUAUCAUACAUAGCUAGAAAUCACCACUGAAAAUUGUCUCGGUUUAUUUAUUUUCAAAGCCAAAGGAUGAAUUUAACAUUGCACUAUUAUGGAACAAAGGAACCAACUCCCAUCUCCCCCCUUGGUGUGCCGAUCUGGGAUUCUCCUGACCCCCCUGGGCAAGCUUGGUGGGGUCUGGGCGAAGGAGCGGGGAAAGCCUUGUUGUGCUCCUGCUGGUGCAACUGGCCCCAAGUAUGCAAGUGGCAGCCAUAAAGUGUAUAUUAUACAAGAUGUAUAAUAUUUCAGUUUUACAGAGUGAAAGAUCAGUCUAACAGUUAAUGAAUUGCCCUCUGGCCCUCAAUUGAUUUAUGACCGGGUAGGGAUUUUAAUCCAGGUCUCCCAGAUAAAAGUCAAAUACUAUACCCACUGGAGCACUCAGCAGGAUAUAUUUCCUAAAGUGUCCAUCCUUGACACUUUAAACUCAACUCUACUAACAUUUUCUGCUUUGUAGAUUAAUAACGGUUUCUGUAUCACUCUUUGCACAAGCCACAUGGCAGUUUAGAACAAAAUUAAGUAAGAUAAAAAUAAUCAGUAAGGUCCAUAGAAUGACACAACCUCUAAAAAUAACAGCACAACUACUGGCUUGCAACAAGAUGGCAGACUGAAGCCAAAGUUAUUAAAAACAACAAAUCACUUACCCUGUAGUAAUCUGUGCUAUACACGUCUCUUGACAUUCCAAAAUCUCCUAUCUUCACCAGUAAGUUUUCACCAACCAGGCAAUUCCGAGUGGCAAGGUCACGAUGCACAAAAUGCUGUGAUGCCAAGUAAACCAUGCCAGCUGCAAUCUGCUGGGCAAUAUGUAACAUCUGUGACUGGGUUAGCUCAGUUAGAUGACUCCCUUCAGCCAUCAGAGCUGCAUCAGGUCCAUGUGCCCUGUAUGGAACACAGGAGAGUGUAAGCAGAUCCAUUUAUUCAUUUCCUUUAAGUUUAAAACAUGCACACACAAUGGAAGAACCAUAUGGGAGAUGAAGAUCCAUGUGCCCCAAUCUCUUUAAUGACCAUCUGUUUUGAAGAGCAGGCAAAGUGCUUAUUGAGUUUAUAUCUCCUAUAACAACAGUCCUUUUCCAGGUUAAGAAUCUCAGUUGUAUGAUUCAUGAAAACAUCAAGGCCUGGAUUAACAGACCUCGGGCUCAUCCACACUUAGCUUUGCUCUGCAUGUCUAGGCUCAGGUCCUGGCUUUCCAGGUUCCUGUCCAAGCCCCGCUGGGACUUUCCCUGCAAAAACCUGCUCUUUACCGCUAAACUGGAGCAAACAGCAAUCUGUGGAACGCCUGAAUUGCUGUUUGCUCUGAUUCAGCAGUAAAGAGCAGGUUUUCCUGGGGCAAGAGGCAGGGCAUGGCUGGGAAAGUGUGAACACAUGCGUAGAAAGUGAGAGGCAAAGGGUGCGUGUGGAUGAGCCCUUGUCUCUACAAAUGAAAAGGGACUUGCUGGUCUCUGCCAAGACUUAGCAGAACACAUAGAAACCCUACAUAUUCUGCCUUGGACUCCAUGGAGGAAAGCCAAUUAUAAUAUGAAACUAUUGUACUCAAUGCUCAGUAGUACCCUCCGAAGCCAUUUAAGCUCUGGAAAUGGACUCUUAAUAACCAAAGAAAAAUAAAGAAGGGUGUUGCUCAAGUUAUUAACAGACAAAACAUUAAUAUACGUGAACUGUCUUGUUUUGCUCAUUACACAUCCCUCUGCCAGCUAUAGGACAGCGGGCAUAGAUUACAGCUUACAUUCCAAUACAAAGAAAGCAAAUUGGUGGGGUGCAUUCUUUCAUUAGUCCCAGAGAGAGACUUUGAAACACAAGCAGUCUUUCAGGUAAAAUAAUCCUCACUACAAACUGUGGAACAAGCUCUGUGAGAACAUCAGUAGCAGAAUGGUUUUACACCAGUGACAACACAAAUGCCACUAGGCGAGUGUUCCUGCUGGCUCUGAGCUAUCGUCUUGCAGAAUAGCUAUUGCACUGGUGACUGGGAGGGAUGGGCUGGAUAAUUUUGCUCCUCUUCUGUCCCACUGAUUCAUAAGACCCAAGACAAAGGUUACAAAGAAAGAUUGGGAUGGAAUGUAUCAGGAACUUGCCCUACACUCGAGUAGGACCCUGGCAGAGACACAUGCCUGACUGGCAUGUUCUCUCCCUCCUGGUCGAUUGUUCGGGAGCUUCAAAAGCUUUCUUCAGCCCGAACCUCACAGCGACCGAUGCCAACAGACACCGGCACACUUAGGGAUCCGCAGAGUCUUUGCAGCUUGCGUAACAGACCUCAGCAACUCAGCAUUUUGGCUAAUCUACUUUAUUUACAUAUAAACACACACGGAGCACUGCAACAUGGCUCCCUCUCUCUCUAGCACCAGACAGCAAAGAGAAAGAACAAAGGACAAUAGUCCCACUUCACGGAACACAGUAACACAAACAUCCUGUCUCCAUCACUUCCUACUCUGUGGAGUCAAAACAUACACAGUCAUGUGAUAGACGAAAAAAUUCCAUGACUGCAAUCAUGGAGCAGGAAUUCUAACAGAAUGUACCCAUCCUAGUACCUUCUCACUUCGGACUUGUGCAAUCUGACAUGAAGGCAAAUCUCAGAACUUCAGCCCUUAGAACACAGAAUACAUAUCUGAGGAUACAUCUCUGGGGGGAGAGUUUAACAAUCUGUCAUAAAUGCUCAAAACAGAGAGCAAAAAAUACAGAUGCAGUCACUGGAAUGAAGUCUUCCAAUUAUGCGAAUUCGCAAGCAUUCACUUCUGUUUUUUGUGUCUGUAGAACGACAUGGGCUUUUAAACAAACACAUGAAUAAACAAAUAAGGAACUGGAGUAGAAGAGGAUAAAAAAGAGUGGAAAACAAAAAGAAAGAUGAUAAAGG
rnacentral:lncRNA from 1 species